CAGUCGAACGGCAGCGGGGAGAAGCUUGCUCUCCUGCCGGCGAGUGGCGAACGGGUGAGUAAUACAUCGGAACGUGCCCUGUAGUGGGGGAUAACUAGUCGAAAGAUUAGCUAAUACCGCAUACGACCUGAGGGUGAAAGUGGGGGACCGCAAGGCCUCAUGCUAUAGGAGCGGCCGAUGUCUGAUAGCUAGUUGGUGGGGUAAAGGCCCACCAAGGCGACGAUCAGUAGCUGGUCUGAGAGGACGAUCAGCCACACUGGGACUGAGACACGGCCCAGACUCCUACGGGAGGCAGCAGUGGGGAAUUUUGGACAAUGGGCGAAAGCCUGAUCCAGCAAUGCCGCGUGUGUGAAGAAGGCCUUCGGGUUGUAAAGCACUUUUGUCCGGAAAGAAAUGGCUCUGGUUAAUACCUGGGGUCGAUGACGGUACCGGAAGAAUAAGGACCGGCUAACUACGUGCCAGCAGCCGCGGUAAUACGUAGGGUCCAAGCGUUAAUCGGAAUUACUGGGCGUAAAGCGUGCGCAGGCGGUUGUGCAAGACCGAUGUGAAAUCCCCGAGCUUAACUUGGGAAUUGCAUUGGUGACUGCACGGCUAGAGUGUGUCAGAGGGGGGUAGAAUUCCACGUGUAGCAGUGAAAUGCGUAGAGAUGUGGAGGAAUACCGAUGGCGAAGGCAGCCCCCUGGGAUAACACUGACGCUCAUGCACGAAAGCGUGGGGAGCAAACAGGAUUAGAUACCCUGGUAGUCCACGCCCUAAACGAUGUCAACUAGUUGUUGGGGAUUCAUUUCCUUAGUAACGUAGCUAACGCGUGAAGUUGACCGCCUGGGGAGUACGGUCGCAAGAUUAAAACUCAAAGGAAUUGACGGGGACCCGCACAAGCGGUGGAUGAUGUGGAUUAAUUCGAUGCAACGCGAAAAACCUUACCUACCCUUGACAUGCCACUAACGAAGCAGAGAUGCAUUAGGUGCUCGAAAGAGAAAGUGGACACAG
rnacentral:rRNA from 1 species